CAAUUUUGCACAUGUAAGUUUAUUUGAAAUGAAUCACAUUAACUAUGUAAUUGUUUCCAGAUUCUGAAUGAAAUAGAACAGAUGAAAAGAGACAUAAGACUCCUAUGCAAAGCGGUAUCACCUGACACAAUGAUCGAGGAAGAGGUUAAAAAUCCGCCAACAGAAAUACGGGAUGCAGAUAAAGAUCAGAUACCACAACCCUCCAUGGUGUCGGAUGAUAUGAAGGUUAUUUAUGUAUAAGAUUUCGAUGACAACGAUUCGGAUUCAACCGUCCUUGGAUUCAUCUACUUAUUUUCAAAACCUGCUUUGGAUAAAUGAUUGGUUUAGAAACUGAAAUUGGAAUGAAGGGUGACUAAAAUGCAACAUGGAAGCAGAGAAUUGUAUUUAUUGCAAAAGAGUGUGUUUUCAUGUAUACUCUUUAAUGUAGAUGUGCUUUAUCUUCAUCUGUGUCUUUAAUUACAUUAUCAUCGAUGGGAUUACGUGGCGUCGGUGGCCGAGUGGUUAGGCCGUCAGACUCUCGACCGAAAGGUCGUGGGUUCGAGUCCUGGCCGCGGCAGGGCUGACAUUGUGUCCUUGGGAAAGGCACUUUACAUGAAUUUCCUCACUCCACCCAAGUGUAAAAAGGGUACCUGGCUAUAGACAGUGAAAGAUAUUGUUAGAAUGUUAGUGCUCUAGCGCUUGUAAUGGCAGCUUGCACUGUAUGCUUCCUAGGAAGCUGAGAAAGUUCUAGAUUUAUAUAAGGUCUGCCGGGGUAAUAAUGUACAUUGAUAAUUGUAAAGCGCUCUGAGCAGCAUACGCUGGAUAAGGCGCUAUAUAAAACCAAUUAUUAUUAUUAUUAUUAUUAGAACAUUCUGCAAAAAAAAAAAGAAGAAAAUUAUUUAAAAAACUAGCAAGGUCGAACAGAGUCUAGAUGAUAGAAAUACUUGAUGUUUCAAAGUACACUUUAUGGAUGAUGUUCAAAUAUAUUUACUGAAUAUUUAGGUAAUUCAUUAUGAAUUCUUUGAUUUUGAUUGGAGGAUUAAAUCUAUAAAUAAAAAUGACAUUGAUGACAUGUUAUGUAAAUCAUUUUCUUUUUUUCAAAUUGUCACUUUCUUUUUCUUUAAAUAGAAUUACAAGUUUUAGAUGUAACUUGACUUAUCGUGUGUCUUACAUUACACAGUAACUAAACUGCCAACUGAUGUGAAAUGAACUGUCGUUCUACUGUUAUAAUUAAUGUUGUAUUAUUAUUCUUUAAAUAGAAUUACAAGUUUUAGAUGUAACUUGACUUAUCGUGUGUCUUACAUUACACAGUAACUAAACUACCAACUGAUGUGAAAUGAACUGUCGUUCUACUGUUAUAAUUAAUGUUGUAUUAUUAUUCUUUAAAUAGAAUUACAAGUUUUAGAUGUAACUUGACUUAUCGUGUGUCUUACAUUACACAGUAACUAAACUACCAACUGAUGUGAAAUGAACUGUCGUUCUACUGUUAUAAUUAAUGUUGUAUUAUUAUUCUUUAAAUAGAAUUACAAGUUUUAGAUGUAACUUGACUUAUCGUGUGUCUUACAUUACACAGUAACUAAACUGCCAACUGAUGUGAAAUGAACUGUCGUUCUACUGUUAUAAUUAAUGUUGUAUUAUUAUUCUUUAAAUAGAAUUACAAGUUUUAGAUGUAACUUGACUUAUCGUAUGUCUUACAUUACACAGUAACUAAACUACCAACUGAUGUGAAAUGAACUGUCGUUCUACUGUUAUAAUUAAUGUUGUAUUAUUAUUCUUUAUAUUUGAAUCAUUAUUUUUCCAUUACCAUGGACGUGAACAUGGUAACUAAGAGUAGGGAAGACGAUAAAAGGUUAUCUAAAACAUUGGCGCUAAUGAAAUGUUUUGUACUGUUACAAUCGAUGUUUUAUUAUUAUUAUUAUUAUUAUUAUUAUUAUUAUCAUCAUCAUUAAUAUUUUAUUUUUCAUUCUGACUGUUGUUAUUAUCAUCAUUAUAAAAGGAAACGACACGGAUUAACAUUGUUAACAUUCAUUCUUGUCUUGUCAUAUCCUAUGAACAUUUCUUUUUCAUUGCAACCUUGAACCUUGAUAAGAUGAUCACGAAAUGUGUACGCUUGCUUCUUUGUGUUGUCUAAUGGCAGAAAUGUCACAGAGUGUAUUUCAUUUGAAAGACACAGAAAGCUGUCGUCAUUUCAUUGCCCAUGUGAAAUUCUGAUCUGGCGUCAAUCACGAAUGCAAUACCGGCUUUCUAAUCUGCUAAACAACAACGCUGCCUAUAGGAUGCAUGAUUUAGGGAUGUUGAUUGAUCUAACAUUUUGUUGUCUCUGGCUAUUUAAAUCACAUGUAUCUUAUCAAGUUAUGGGGUUCAGGACGGGUGUGAGCGGUGAACAGGGGAUACUUACUCCUUCUAAACACCUGACCCCCUCUGGUACAUGUGUGUCCAGGGGUUCGUGUUUGUCCUAUUCUUGAUUCUGCAUUCCUUAUAGGAAGUAUGAGAUUGAACACUGCACGUUGCCUUUACUUUUUUUUAUCAUUAAGGAAAUGCCCCUAUUUAAUCAGUUCAACUUUCAAACCAAAUCAAAAGCGCCACGAUAUUCAUAUCCAUAUGAAUAAUACGUUUGCUUAAUGACAUCGCACCCAAAAACACUAAAGCGCUAGGACUUCAAAUACUUCUUUGCGAAAUAAAAGCCAAAUAUUAACGAUGCAACCAUUACCCGAGAUACGAUAUAUGCUGUGUAACAUAUGUACGUCGAUCAUGUGACCAGCAUAUCACGUGGGCGUGACUGUCAUAACCUAGAUACUGAGUGAAUCAACAACAUACUAUGUAAAAAACAAGUAUGACAACAAGUUAUGAUAUAAAAUGAUUGAUAUUGUUCAUGACGUCACGAAUACUCGUACGUUCCAAUUACGAUGAACUUACUGGCGAUGGUCACUGCGUUCCGUGUUGACUUCACUAUGAAUUUCUUUCCAAUUAACCACUAAAAGUUGGCCACUACUAUGAUGAAAAAGUGAAGAUAACGAACAGUGAUCCACCUCGAUGCUACACAGAAUGCAGUAAGACAAACACGAUAGUGAAAUAACGUUUUAUGUCAUAUAUUUGCUGUUUAUCAAUAAAUAAUCU